AACGAACGCUGGCGGCAGGCCUAACACAUGCAAGUCGAGCGCCCCGCAAGGGGAGCGGCGGACGGGUGAGUAACGCGUGGGAACGUGCCCCAAGGUACGGAAUAGCCCCGGGAAACUGGGGGUAAUACCGUAUGUGCCCUACGGGGGAAAGAUUUAUCGCCUUGGGAUCGGCCCGCGUUGGAUUAGGUAGUUGGUGGGGUAAUGGCCUACCAAGCCGACGAUCCAUAGCUGGUUUGAGAGGAUGAUCAGCCACACUGGGACUGAGACACGGCCCAGACUCCUACGGGAGGCAGCAGUGGGGAAUCUUAGACAAUGGGCGCAAGCCUGAUCUAGCCAUGCCGCGUGAGCGAUGAAGGCCUUAGGGUUGUAAAGCUCUUUCAGGGGGGGAAGAUAAUGACUGUACCCCCAGAAGAAGCCCCGGCUAACUCCGUG
rnacentral:rRNA from 1 species